rnacentral:piRNA from 1 species
UCCUUGAUUCAAGCACACAAA